rnacentral:miRNA from 1 species
GCUGCUGCUGCUGAUGGU